rnacentral:lncRNA from 1 species
CGCUAGAGGCCUGCGAUAGUUUUGUUAGGCCAUGUUUCAGCGGUUGUUGCUCGCCUCUUCUGGAGUCCCUCCUCCUCUCCCCACUUCUUUUCUCUCUUCCCUCAUUUGACAGCCGCCUCUGCACUCUUCUGCUUAGAACACGUCAUCGUCCUCCACUGGGAGAGAAUCAUGGUGCCACCUUUCUCCCCCUAUGGCUGAAGACCACAAGAAGAUGGCAGGCUGGGCUUCUGCUCUUCAGUCAGCAGCCGCCAGGAACUGGAGCUGGAACUGGCGAGAUGAUGUCACGCAGCUUUUCACUGACCAGGCCUCAGGUGCAGAGGGGUAGGAAGACCAACCAGAUUUCUAAAGAAAAAGAUACUUCAGACCCUCCCAGGAACUGGAAAAUAUUGAUUGCUUGAUUAAAUAAAGCUUGAGAAUUCAUGUGUCUGAAGCAAUUUUUUUCAGGCUGCCCUGUUUCCAUAUCUGUAAAACAUUAUUAAUAAAUUUUGAUCCUUUACUGUAUCAAACAUGUUACAUUAGUAUUAUGUAAGGCUUAGAUAACAAAAUAAUAGAAAAAUAAAAUAAUAGAGCUGAAAGUG